rnacentral:rRNA from 1 species
AAUUCGAAGCAACGCGAAGAACCUUACCAGGUCUUGACAUCCCGAUGCUAUUCUAGAGAUAGAAAGUUACUUCGGUACAUCGGUGACAGGUGGUGCAUGGUUGUCGUCAGCUCGUGUCGUGAGAUGUUGGGUUAAGUCCCGCAACGAGCGCAACCCCUAUUGUUAGUUGCCAUCAUUCAGUUGGGCACUCUAGCGAGACUGCCGGUAAUAAACCGGAGGAAGGCGGGGAUGACGUCAAAUCAUCAUGCCCCUUAUGACCUGGGCUACACACGUGCUACAAUGGUUGGUACAACGAGUUGCGAGUCGGUGACGGCGAGCUAAUCUCUUAAAGCCAAUCUCAGUUCGGAUUGUAGGCUGCAACUCGCCUACAUGAAGUCGGAAUCGCUAGUAAUCGCGGAUCAGCACGCCGCGGUCGAAUACGUUCCCGGGCCUU